rnacentral:lncRNA from 1 species
UGAUUAAUAGUUAUUGCCUGAUGCAUCGUGCUGAUUUUGGAUUUUCGGUGUUACCUAUUUACUUGAAGAAUGGCAUUCCGUUUAAUAAUGUUACCUUUACAACUCUAAUUAGGGGAAUCUUUGCUGAAAAUAAGGUUAAAGAUGCUGUUGAAUUGUUCAAAAAAUUGGUGAGAGAGAAGAUUUGUGUGCCCGAUGAAAUCAUGUAUGCAACAGUAAUGAGUGGGCUCAGCAAAAGGGGUCAUACUCAGAAGACUUUAAGUUUGCUCCGGUUAAUGGAACAAGGUAACACUCAGCCCGACAUAUAUAUGUACAACAUUGUAAUAGAUGCUCUUUGCAAAGAUGGAAACUUAGAUGCUGCUAUCAACAUUCUGAACGAGAUGAAGCAGAAAGGCAUUCAUCCAGACAUAUUAACGUAUAAUUCAUUGAUUGAUGGUUUGUGUAAGCUCGGUCAGUGGGAAAAGGUUAAAACUUUGUUCUCAGAGAUGGUGAACCUUAAUAUGUAUCCAGAUGUGCGCACCUUCACCAUACUAACAGAUGGACUAUGCAAAGAAGGGAAAGUUGAAGAUGCCGAGGAAGUAAUGAAACACAUGGUUGAAAAGGGUGUCGAGCCUAAUGUAAUCACCUACAAUGUGAUAAUGGAUGGAUAUUGUUUGCGUGGUCAACUAGAUAGAGCUAGGAGAAUUUUUGAUAUCUUGAUAGAUAAGGGCAUUGAGCCUGACAUUUUUAGCUAUAACAUACUAAUAAAUGGAUACUGUAAGAAAAAGAAACUCUCCAAGGCCAUGCAGUUGUUUCGUGAAAUUUCAAAAAAGGGAUCAAAGCCUAAUAUUGUUACCUACAAUACUAUCUUGCAAGGCCUGUUUGAAGUUGGAAGAAUUGGUGUUGCAAAACAAUUGUUUGUUGAGAUGGUAUCUACUGGGCCAGUACCUAACUUAUCCAUUUAUCACACUUUGCUUGAUGGUUAUUUUAAGUACAGACUUGUUGAAGAAGCUAUGUCACUCUUUAAUAAGUUGGAAGGAAAGAAAGAAAAUAUUGAUAUUACAUCUUACAAUAUUAUCAUUAAUGGAUUGUCUAAAAACGGUGAACUCGAUAAAGCUCAUGCUAUUUUUCAGAAGCUUUCUUCAAUAGGAUUGCUUCCGGAUGUGAGAAUAUACACUACAAUGAUAACUGGAUUUUGUCUACAAGGGUUGUUAGAUGAAGCUAAAGAUAUGCUUAGAAAAAUGGAGGGGAACAAUUGUCUUCCAGACAAUGUCACUUACAAUGUUAUCGUGCAAGGAUAUCUUAGGUGCAGGAAAAUAAAUGAAAUGGUAACUUUUAUGAAGGAAAUGACUGGAAGGGGCUUCUCAUUUGACACAACUACAACUGAGUUACUAGUAAAUGCUAUUAGUGAGAAUCCUUCCGUUGUUGACAUGUUACCAGAGCUUCAUGCGGAAAUCAAGAAGUGAAAAGUUGUUCACUUGGUUUGUUCGGCUGCACUAUGGCUGUGAUACAAUUUCCUUUCUAUCCUUGCAAAAGAAUUUACAUCCAAUGCAAUUGCAGAAGUUGAUGGCAAUUAGAGCAUUGCUUGAGGUUUCUAGGCAGACCUACUGAGGAGGUAUAUCGAAUUUUGAUAUUUUGAGUUCUAUAUCCGUUUUUCUUUUUCUCAAAAAUCAAUUGUUAUUGCAUUAUUAAUGUGAGAACAAAAUGGUAAUAUUACCGAUUUAAAAAAUAAUAAUGGUGAGUUUCCUUAUGUGUUUUAAGUCUAGUAAUAUCAUUUAUCAGUGCUAUUUAGUCAUCGAAUCUGAUAGGAAAUACUAUAGUUGCCAGAUUUGUGUUCCUUCCAUUUUGCCUUGUCUGGUAAAGCAUUUUGCAGCCCUUGAAUCCUUCAUUCACUGGCCCAAAUUGGCUCAUUUCCUCCAUUUCAGUCAUGAUACACUUCUAUUGUUGCAAAGCUGAAAGUCCUGGAAAAUUGCUCCUCGAAUCAUGUGUUUCCUAUCCACCUAUUUUGCCAGAAAAGGGCUUUUAUACCAUCUUUCAGUUUAAUGUGAAUGUGCUCUGAGAAUUCACCCCCAUAAGUUUCUGACAUAUUUCCAACUCCAUAAGAAUAGUUAGGAACCUUCGUGAUCCAAAACUUCUCCAUCCCAUAUUAUUUCUGCAAUCAGUUGCUUCUUCAUUUCUUCUUCCUCUUUGUAGAACCUCCAAAGUCUCACAUCAUAAGGAGAUUUUUGUUGUUUAUUUCUUGCUCCUAUGUCGCAUUCCCUCUUCCUUGUUGUCACAAUUUCUCAUUUGACGAGGUUGAAGGCUUUCUUCUCUCUAUUAGCUUGCCACAAGAAGCCUUCCCUGAACUCAUCUCUUUCUUCCUUAGUAUUGGGGUAUUGGAUACAGAGACAUAAUACAUAUAGAAAGGGUGUCCAAGACACUAUCACUACAACAAAAACUGCUUUUAGCGGCAAUAAAUAUGUACAUUAACAAAGAGUGCUAAAGCCUUUACCGGCAUUAAUUAAUUGCCAUUAAAUCCAAUGUCGAUAUAGGCUUUAGCGGCAUUUACAAAGAGUGUUAAAAUAUAAUUGUCACUAGUAAUUGCCUCUAUAAAAACAUAAUUGUUCCACAUUGCCUUCUAGGUGUUCUACCAACUUUGUGUGAUUCACCUUGAAAAUGUCACUCUGCAUAAUUUGCUUGUAAACCUGAUACAGAUUCAAUCAACAAUUAGAUUGUCUUCAGGUACAAUACUUGCUAUUCAUUUGCUUCGCACAUUCUAAGAGUAUCAUCUGGAUUCAAGAGAUGUGAUUGAUCCUUGGCCUCUUGUAUUUACUUGAAACCAUUUUAUCUGGUCAAGCUGUGUUCCCUUGCUAAUCUUUCUACCAAGGCCCUCCAUAACUAAAAUAAAAUGGAAAAAAGAAAGAGGGUCACCUUACCUUAAACUCCUAUGAGCAGAGAAAAAACCUACAUGUGUCUCACUUAUCAAAAUUGAGAAUUUGACAGUGAAUGUGUAAAACUUAACCCAUCUCUCUAUUUGUUUCCGAACCCCAUAUCUCCAAUCGAGUUCAUCAAAAAUCCCCAACUUACAUGGUUGUACACCUUCUAUAUGUCCAGCUUUAUCAAUAGCCAAGUGCUCCUUAUUUUUUCUUUUUUUUUAAUCCAAAGCCUCAUUGGCGCGCCAUUAUUUGCCUAUCUUUAGUGAAUGCCAACUGUUUUCUGUCCACUAAUUUUCUGAUAAAUUGCUUCGAUCUUUUUGCCAGCUAUUUGGCUAUAAUUUAUAUACACUAUUAAUCAAACUAAUGGAUUUGAAAUGUUUCUACUUUUUCACGAGUUUCAAUCCCCAACACCAACUAUCAGUUGUUGUUUUUUUCUGCCUAGACUAUCACCCUCUAUGUAUUAACACACACCUCAACUAUCAGUUUUUCCCUUUUUCUACUUGAAAGAUUGUGGUGGUUCAGGUAGAAAAAGAGAAUAGCUGACAGUUGAGGUGUGUUUAAUUCACAGAUGGUGAUAGUUCAGUUCAUGUAGGAAAAGGAAACAUCUUAUAGUUGAAGUAUGAAACUCGCAAAAAAACGAUAGUUCAUGUGUGUUUUUGACCAUCAACUCUCCAUUCUUCGUGGAAGUUAAGGCAAGCAGUUUAUGUUGCAUGUAUAUUCCUUGCAAAAUGUUCGUUCUGGUGAAAAUACUCUACAACUUUCAACACAUCAUCCUUGGCAACUUCACUUGGAGUGCCUUAGAGAGCCUAACAUGGCAUUUAUUCUACUCAAUGUUUAUUCAGUUGGCACUUUCUUACCCCUGUAAAUAGUGUGGAUAACUUUUUGGAUUUUGUCUCCCUGUCUGCUUCAUGUUUUGUUUGAUCAAGCAACUUCUUUUGCUCUCUUGUAAUCUUGCAUUCAUCUAACUAGGGUGCGUGCACCAGGCUGCCUUGGAUCUAAUCAAUUUGUAGUGUAUGUUUCAGCUUUCAGACUUGUUUUUGUCCCCUAAACUAUAUACAAUGUAUUUUCAUGCCCGAAAGCUUUCUUUCAAUUUUUAUAACAGAACAUGUUACUUGCCAGGUAAUCACAUUUUGUUGUUGAUCAGACCGGUAUGAUACAGAUGGUGUCUACUGGAGAUGUUGUCCGUGCUGUUGCAAGUGAGCGUUGGGAUAAGUUGAACCGUUUCAAUGCUUACAUACAAGGAGGUUACUAGAUGAUGAUGACAAGCAUGGAACUUGAAAAGCGUGAAUGUAUAAGCUCAAUUAGGGUGGCAAAUGGGUGAAUUGAAUCAGAUCGGAUUUGGAUGGAUUGAGUUAAAAUGGAUUGGAUCACAAUCACUUGAGCCCACCUUAGGCAAACGCCACCUUGGCGUGUUUGAGGUGGCAUGCCACGCGGCACCCACAAAUUAUGACAUAAGCUCAAUCACUUGGGCCGACCUUAGGUAGACAUCACCUUGGGCUUGGGGUGUUGAGGUGGCAUACCACUUGGCCUUCACCUGUGAACUAGAGCCAUAUAAAUAUGAAUGAAAAUCCAAACUAUAGUCUCUCAACUUUUGGAUAGGUUGCUAUUCUUCCAAUGAAACUGUUUGAUUAGUUUCCAUCAAUAUAGCUAUGACAUAUAUUCAUUGCAUUUAGUUUUUUUAUAUUUUAUUUGCAAGCUUUAGUUAUACAUUAUAUUUUUUUGUGUGUGCAUUUCCAUGAUUGUAUCGUAUGUGUUUAAAUAUGAAACUUUCAUCCCAUUUAACUUAAAAAUAAAAAAAUCAUUUUUAAAUUUGUUAAAGUAAAAAAAAAAUUAUUAUUUAUGUCACUUCAUAUAAGCACGUAUCAUUCAAAUAAAAGGGACAAUGAGUAUGUAACCAAGUGCUCCUUCAAUUUACUUCUUUUCCUUGUGGGAAGUGCAGAUUUUUUUGAGAAGAGAAAGAGAUACAAUCUCAAUCCUUCCGUAAUGACCUGUUUUUUUGGAUUUAAUUAUUCGUAGCUAUAAUUAUUUGAAUGAGUCUUUUUUGAUUUCUUGGUAAGAUUUCAAUCAGUACUUUCUCCAAUAAAGAGAUACUCCAUCCGUUUCUUUUUAUAUGUCACAUUUUUAUUUUGCGCUUGCAUUAAAAAAUGAUUUAAUUUUAUCCUUCUACCCUAUUUAAUGUUUUAUUAACUCAACUUUAUAAUAAAUGAUGAAUAUGUUAAAUGACUAUUUAAAUUUUUAAGUUUAUUUUUGGUAGAAUAGUGAAUAAACAAAGUAGUUAAUCAAUGUAUGAAGUACUCUCUCCAUUAAUUACUUGUAGAUUUCCUAGGUUAGUCAAAACAUAUAGUUUCAAGACUAAUUAACUACUCUAUCAAGGAUAUAAUAGGAAAAAUAUGGUAAUUUAUGCAUUGAUUUUAUAAAAUGACAAGUAUUGUAGUCCAACUAUUUAUAAAAAUGGAUGACAUAUAAAAAGGAACGGAGGGAGUACAUACUAAGAAAAAAAAAUUCAUUUUGAUGGAGGAAUUUUAUAUGAAGAGUGAUGAGAAUGUCAAAACGCAACAAUAAUUAUUUGUAGAAAGUAUCAAUUUAUUUGUGGAAUUUAUAUAGGGAUGGCAACAGGGCGGAGCAAAUGUUAGGCGGGGUGGGUUUAAGGCUAUGCGGAGCGGGGUGAGUUUAAGGUUAUGCGGGGCAGGUUGAGGUGGGUUUUUGUUAAACUAAUGCGGGGCAGGGCGAGUUGCGGGGAUAUGUGAUUUUUAUGGGGAUUAAACUUAAUUAUUUAAUAAUCAUAUUUCUUCUUUUAUCCUACAUUUUCAUAAUAGUUCUACCCCGUACACUAUUUUUCUUGUAGAUUUAUUGCUCAAAUUAUAAAUAUGUGACAUUAAAUAACGACAUAAAAACAAUAAAAAAUAUUCAAACAUUAUAUUCAUUUAAACAAUAUAAUACAUACAAUAUAAUUCCAUACCUAAUGAACAACUAUCCAAACAAAGUGUUAAAAGAGAUUCCUACAAAAUUAGGUCACACUGAAAAUUAUUGAGCAACUCAGUGAGAGAAAUUUGCUUUGGCAAUGGCGAUGAGCAGAAUUUGUCUGAGGAAAUGCAAUGGUAUUCUCUCUAUCUCUUCCUUUCAUAUCUCCUAUUCUGAUUUUUCUUCACGCGGUAGUAAAGUAAAGGGUAGAGUUGGGUUAAAUAGUAGCAGUAGUUUUGAGUGUUUAGAUGAUGCUGUGAAUCUAUUCCAUCAAAUGGUUAGAAUGAAACCUCUUCCUUCUCUUGUCGACUUCUCUAAAUUGUUUAGCAAUAUGAUAAGUAGGAAGCAUUACUCUGCUGUCCUUUCGCUCUUUCGAGAAAUGCUAACAAUGGGUAUCCCGGUUGAUGAAUUCAUCUUGAAUAUUGUGAUUAACAGUUAUUGCCUGAUGCAUCGUGCUGAUUUUGGAUUUUCGGUGUUAUCUAUUUACUUGAAGAAUGGCAUUCCGUUUAAUAAUGUUACCUUUAACACCCUAUUAAGAGGAAUCUUUGCUGAAAAUAAGGUUAAGGAUGCAGUUGAAUUGUUCAAAAAAUUGGUGAGAGAGAAGAUUUGUGUGCCCGAUGAAAUCAUGUAUGCAACAGUAAUGAAUGGAC